rnacentral:tRNA from 1 species
AGUCUUGUGGUGAAACCACGUCAAAUUGCAAGUUUGAAAAAGCACCCGUAAAGGUGCCGGGACUU